rnacentral:rRNA from 1 species
AAUCAACGCUGGCGGCGUGCCUCAGACAUGCAAGUCGAACGAUUAAAGCCCUCUUCGGAGGGUGUAUAAAGUGGCGCACGGGUGAGUAACACGUAAGUAAUCUACCUUCGAGUGGGGAAUAACGUUCGGAAACGAACGCUAAUACCGCAUAAUGCAGCGGCAUCUAUGAUGACAGUUGUUAAAGAUUUAUCGCUUGAAGAGGAGCUUGCGGCAGAUUAGCUAGUUGGUAAGGUAACGGCUUACCAAGGCGACGAUCUGUAUCCGGUCUAAGAGGACGGUCGGACACACUGACACUGAAUAACGGGUCAGACUCCUACGGGAGGCAGCAGUCGGGAAUUUUGGGCAAUGGGCGAAAGCCUGACCCAGCAACGCCGCGUGAAGGAUGAAGUUCUUCGGAAUGUAAACUUCGUAAGAAUAGGAAGAAUAAAUGACGGUACUAUUUGUAAGGUCCGGCUAACUACGUGCCAGCAGCCGCAGUAAAAC